CCUACGGGGGGCAGCAGUCGAGAAUCAUUCACAAUGGGGGAAACCCUGAUGGUGCGACGCCGCGUGGGGGAAUGAAGGUCUUCGGAUUGUAAACCCCUGUCAUGUGGGAGCAAAUUAAAAAGAUAGUACCACAAGAGGAAUAGACGGCUAACUCUGUGCCAGCAGCCGCGGUAAUACAGAGGUCUCAAGCGUUGUUCGGAAUAACUGGGCGUAAAGCGUGCGUAGGCGGUUUCGUAAGUCGUGUGUGAAAGGCAGGGGCUCAACCCGCGGACGGCACAUGAUACUGCGAGACUAGAGUAAGGGAGGGGGAAGCGGAAUGCGCGGUGUAGCAGUGAAAUGCGUAGAUAUCGAGAGGAACACUCGUGGCGAAGGCGGGUUCCUGGACAUUAACUGACGCUGAGGCACGAAGGCGAGGGGAGCGAAAGGGAUUAGAUACCCGAGUAGUC
rnacentral:rRNA from 1 species